CUUCCUACUGCCUGGGGAUCUGGAUGUAGACUUUUCCAGCACCAUGUCUCCCUGUGAGUCGCCAUGUUUUCCACUGUGGUUCCCAUGGACUAAACCCUUGAAACUAAAGACUCAAGAAAUUACUGCAGGAUUUAUUCUGGUGAGAAGAAGGAAGAUACCUCCAGGAAGAUGUGUGAUCCAGAAACAGAAAUCUAGAAUAGGAGCAAGAUGAAAGAGAACUCUGGGGACUGUUCUGCUGGAGAUCUAAUAACACAGAAACAUCCUGUAGCCAUUUGACCCAUAGACGACUGAUCAAAUCAAAGAAGCCAGUGAUUCAUGAAGAGUGGGCUCUGGCUGCUAUUUCUUGUUGGCAUUUUACCAGGGUGGAAAAUGGAAAGCCAAGAAAGAAGCACCUUGACAAUGAAAAUAUCCUUUUAAUGACAACUUUUAUCAAUUAGGUGUGGCGGC
ensembl:lncRNA